AACCUUUGCUGUCUUGGGACGGAUCACCACUGCAAGAGGGGAAGUUGCUACUGUGAUGAAUUCUGCCAUGUGGCACCAGACUGCCACCCAGACCACAGUGUCCUCUGCAACCCUGGUAACUCACAUACAGGCCCGAUUCCACCGACAGCAAAGCUGGAUGCUAUGGCUGGCAGAGGCAAACCCUUUGCCUGCACUUCAGGCCAAAGCCGGGAUGUGGCCUAGAUGGUUCCUAAGCUUCUCAGAUGACCAAGAUGGUGCUGCAGAUGGUGCUGAGGAUGGAGAACCCACCAAGCCCCGCUAGGAGCCACCUAGACUGGAUGCAGAGCAUGGCUAAAACCUUUGAAGAAGAAUUUAUUAUAUCCUACAAACCUGGGAGGCAGAGGUUGCAGUGAGCCAAGAUUGGGCCAUCGCACUCCAGCCUGGGCAAUAAGAAUGAAACUCUGUCUCAAAAAAAACAAAAGUUGGCCAGGGCUGGGCGUGGUGGCUCACACCUGUAAUCCCAGCACUUUGGGGGGCUAAAGCAGGUGGAUCACCUGAGGUCAGAAGUACGAGACCAUCAUGGCUAAUAUGGUGAAACCCCAUCUCUACUAAAAAUACGAAAAAAGAAAAAAAAAA
rnacentral:misc_RNA from 1 species